rnacentral:rRNA from 1 species
CGGAGGGAUCAUUACCGAGUUUUCAACUCCCAAACCCUUAUGUGAACCUACCUAUCGUUGCUUCGGCGGACUCGCCCCAGCCGGACGCGGACUGGACCAGCGGCCGCCGGGGACCAUCAAACUCUUGUAUUAUCAGCAUCUUCUGAAUACGCCGCAAGGCAAAACAAAUAAAUUAAAACUUUCAACAACGGAUCUCUUGGCUCUGGCAUCGAUGAAGAACGCAGCGAAAUGCGAUAAGUAAUGUGAAUUGCAGAAUCCAGUGAAUCAUCGAAUCUUUGAACGCACAUUGCGCCCGCCAGCAUUCUGGCGGGCAUGCCUGUUCGAGCGUCAUUUCAACCCUCGACCUCCCUUUGGGGAAGUCGGCGUUGGGGACCGGCAGCACACCGCCGGCCCUGAAAUGGAGUGGCGGCCCGUCCGCGGCGACCUCUGCGUAGUAAACCAACUCGCACCGGAACCCCGACGUGGCCACGCCGUAAAACACCCAACUUCUGAACGUUGACCUCGAAUCAGGUAGGAC